AUAAGUAUACAAAGGGCAUCUGGUGGAUGCCUUGGCGAUAAGAGGCGAUGAAAGACGUAACAGGCUGCGAAAAGUUUCGGGGAGUUGCCAAUAAACUUUGAUCCGAAAAUAUCUGAAUGGGGAAACCUACCACUUUGUGGUAUCCUUAACUGAAUACAUAGGUUAAGGAAGCUAACCCGGAGAACUGAAAUAUCUAAGUACCCGGAGGAAAAGAAAUCAAUUGAGAUUCUCUUAGUAGUGACGAGCGAAAAGGGAAAAGCCCUGUGUUUUUGUUUUAUAAACUGGAAUAAUCUGGAAAGAUUAACUAUAAAAGGUGAUAGUCCUGUACAGGUAGAUAUAGAAUAAAAUCCUUGAGUAAGGCGGGACACGUGAAAUCCUGUUUGAAUAUGGGGGGACCAUCCUCCAAGGCUAAAUACUCCUUAUCGACCGAUAGUGAACAAGUACCGUGAGGGAAAGGUGAAAAGAACCCCUAAAGGGGAGUGAAAUAGAACUGAAACCGGAUGCUUACAAGCAGUCGGAGGGAAUUUAUUUCCUGACGGCGUACCUUUUGUAUAAUGAGUCAGCGACUUAGUGUAACUAGCAAGCUUAAACCGAUAGGCGUAGGCGUAGCGAAAGCAAGUCUGAAUAGGGCAAAUAGUUAGUUGCAUUAGACCCGAAACCUUGUGAUCUAGCCAUGAUCAGGAUGAAGGUAAGGUAACACUUACUGGAGGUCCGAACUCACUAAUGUUGAAAAAUUAGGGGAUGAAUUGUGGCUAGGGGUGAAAGGCCAAUCAAACUGGGAUAUAGCUGGUUCUCCGCGAAAACUAUUGAGGUAGUGCCUCAGGUGUUUAUUCUAGGGGGUAAAGCACUGAAUCGGCUAGGGGGGUCGCGAGAUCUACCAAACCGAAUCAAACUCUGAAUACCUAGAAAUAUAGCCUGGGAGACAGUCCAUGGGUGCUAAGGUCCGUGGACGAGAGGGAAAGAGCCCAGACCGUCAAUUAAGGUCCCAAAGUCAUAGCUAAGUGUGGAAGGAAGUGAAAAGUCCAAAACAGCCAGGAGGUUGGCUUAGAAGCAGCCAUCCUUUAAAGAAAGCGUAACAGCUCACUGGUCUAAAUAAGUCUUUUUGCGCCCAAAAUGUAUCGGGGCUAAAGCUAUGCACCGAAAUUACGGGCUUGUAUGGUUAACAUACAAGCGGUAGCGGAGCGUUCUGUAGGCCGUUGAAGGUGAACCGUAAGGUUUGCUGGAGGUAUCAGAAGUGAGAAUGCUGACAUAAGUAGCGAUAAACAAAGUGAGAAACUUUGUCACCGAAAAUCCAAGGGUUCCUAUGCAAUGCUAAUCAGCGUAGGGUUAGCCGGUCCCUAAGACGAGGCCCAAAGGCGUAGUCGAUGGGAAUACUGUUAAUAUUCAGUAGCCAGUUGGUAGUGACGGAUCUAGUAAAUUGUUCUUUCUUAUUGGAUUGAAAGGGCAGUGAAUAGGUUCCUGGAAAUAGCUCCAACAUAUUGUCCGUACCCUAAACCGACACAGGUGGAUUGGUAGAGAAUACCAAGGUGUUUGAGAGAACGAUCUUGAAGGAACUAGGCAAAUUGCGUCUGUAACUUCGGAAGAAAGACGACUCCUUUUCAGGUAACUAUAAAGGAGUGGCACAAAAAUGGGGGUAGUGACUGUUUAACAAAAACAUAGGACUCUGCAAAAUCGCAUAAGAUGAUGUAUAGGGUCUGAUGCCUGCCCAGUGCUGGAAGGUUAAGAGGAGGUGUGUAAGCACCAAAUUGAAGCCCCAGUAAACGGCGGCCGUAACUAUAACGGUCCUAAGGUAGCGAAAUUCCUUGUCGGGUAAGUUCCGACCUGCACGAAUGGCAUAACAACUUCCCCGCUGUCUCCAAGAUCGACUCAGCGAAAUUGAACUCUGAGUUAAGAUGCUCAGUUCCCGCGGCUAGACGGAAAGACCCCAUGAACCUUUACUAUAGCUUCAUAUUGGUAUUAGGAAACAAAUGUGUAGAAUAGGUGGUAGGCUUUGAAGCAUUGACGCCAGUUAGUGUGAAGCCGAAAUGUGAAAUACCACUCUUUUGUUUCUUGAUAUCUAACCUAGAGCCGUGAAUCCGGCUUGGGGACAGUGUGUGGUGGGUAGUUUGACUGGGGCGGUCGCCUCCCAAAGAGUAACGGAGGCGCGCGAAGGUUAGCUCAAUCUGGUCAGAAAUCAGAUGUUGAGUGUAAUGGCACAAGCUAGCCUGACUGCAAGGGAGACAUUCCGAGCAGAGACGAAAGUCGGUCAUAGUGAUCUUGUGGUUCUGUAUGGAAGGGCCAUAGCUUAACGAAUAAAAGGUACUCUGGGGAUAACAGGCUGAUGAUACCCAAGCGUCCACAGCGACGGUAUCGUUUGGCACCUCGAUGUCGGCUCAUCUCAUCCUGGGGCUGGAGAAGGUCCCAAGGGUAUGGCUGUUCGCCAUUUAAAGAGGUACGUGAGCUGGGUUCAGAACGUCGUGAGACAGUUCGGUCCCUAUCUACCGUGGGUGUAAAGAUAUUUGAGAGGAUCUGUCCUUAGUACGAGAGGACCGGGAUGGACAUACCUCUGGUGUACCAGUUGUUCCGCCAGGAGCAUUGCUGGGUAGCUAUGUAUGGAACGGAUAACCGCUGAAAGCAUCUAAGUGGGAAACCGACCUCAAAACUAGAUAUCUCCAUUAGAAUCGUGAUAGACCAUCACGUUGAUAGGCAGGGUGUGUAAGCAUAGCGAUGUGUUUAGCUAACCUGUACUAAUAAUUCGAUUGACUUAUGU
rnacentral:rRNA from 1 species